UCACGUUUCGCCCCAGAGAAGUAGUGGAGUGGACAGGCCUUUCCUGAGAUUCCUCAGCUGUUUGGAAGCACAGUAAUGUGGGUUAUCCUUACCAUUGGGCAUCAGGAGACACUAGUGGCUAACUUCUCAGGCCAAUGCGGACACACACAGGAAUUGUGAUGUCAUAAACAUUACAUCUACACAUGUACUGAUAUCCCUUAGCAGAACAAUAAGCUAUGUGCGGUGCCUUCCAGAUUUGUGUUUCUGAGUGAUACAUCAGUAGAUGAGUACAUCCAGAUGUUCCUUGAAGACAUUGUCUUACAGGUCUGCUAAGGUUGAAAACAAAGAUAAGGUUUUGCCAUUUCUUUCUAAUGCUCUUUCCAUCUGCUGUACUGCAUCUGCAUUCUCUGUGGAUUAGAAGGUGCAGCUUCAGCCCCACAAUUAGAAAGAUGGGAGAUGGGGCUGCUUAUAUCAGCUGUAAAGAAGAUGUUGAAAGUCAUCUGUGUAUUGCUAGCAGCAGCUUACAGACCUUUCUCCAUGUUUCUUCAUUGUAAGCCAAAGUUGUGACUGUGCCUAGAGUUGCCUUUUUACAAAUGCAUCAUUAAAGGAAAAAGAAACUGAAAACUGAGAGUAAGUGACAGGUGAGCAUUACACAAGGACUUAUGGAUAGUCACGAGAAAGAGACAACGGCCCAGACUCAUUUAGGCCUGGGACUCAUUUAACCAAAUGACCUGUCUGUCACGUGACUGCAGCGACUUUCCCCACAUGGAGAGCUGAGUGAGGCACGGGUGGGGCUGGGCCCACGACUUCCUAAAGGGCCCAGUGACAAAAGGACAUUAACAUUCACGCAAAGCAAUUUUCACUGCAUGAAAGUUACAGAGCUGCAAAGGGCAGACAAAGGUUAAGCUGUUGUACUUCACAUUUUCAUGAAGUUGUCAACAACAUCAAUGUUCAUGUUUCACUUA